rnacentral:rRNA from 1 species
UAAGGAAUAUUGCUCAAUGGGAGAAAUCCUGAAGCAGCAACGCAGCGUGGAGGAUGAAGGGUCUAUGACUUGUAAACUCCUGUAAAGAAGGAAAAAAUUCCCAUUUGAUGGGAGAUGAUGGUACUUCUGGAGUAAGCCCCGGCUAACUACGUGCCAGCAGCCGCGGUAAUACGUAGGGGGCAAGCGUUGUCCGGAUUUACUGGGUGUAAAGGGUGCUCAGGCGGAUUUGUAAGUCAGAGGUGAAAUCUUACAGCUUAACUGUGAAACUGCCUUUGAUACUGCAAGCCUAGAGUAUGGAAGAGAGUGAUGGAAUAUCUGGUGUAGCAGUGAAAUGCGUAGAUAUCAGAUAGAACACCUAUGGCGAAGGCAGUCACUUGGUCCAUUACUGACGCUAAAGCACGAAAGCGUGGGUAGCAAACA